UAGUUUCAGAAUGGCAUUGUAGGGUAGGUGUGAUAGGCAGGAUCUGGCCAGUUUAAAUCUAAAGCAGGUAGAAUAUUUUGGCUGUAUAUGGCUGGUUUAAAUACUAAAGGGUUAUGGGGAUAUACAGUGGUAUUGAACCCAGGGACAUAUCAUUGGGACACCAGCUUCUUUACCACUCACAUACACCACACAUACCUGCGCAAAUACAUUGAUAUAGUGGACUUCUUUCAGUUCCCAUCUGCUGAAUCUGGUCAAGGCUUUGGUCAGCCUUGGGGCUAGGCUUCUUUCAGUUUCCAUCCACCGAAUUCUCUGGGCCUAUAGUAGAGGACAUUUGAGCAAGGUACUGCACAGUGGGACUGAACCCAAGACCACGUGGUUCGGAAGCAAACUUCUUAACCACACAGCUGUGCUUGCAUAUUUAUUAUAAACCCCCAAAUAUAGCAUCUACCCUUUUCCUACCCUGAUUCUGUCCAAAUACUCCCAUUUUGUUGUGAUUAAUUUUGAAAAAUAAUCUUUUAAUUUUUUUUACUUGUUUCAGUCAUUGGACUAUGGCCAUGCUGGGGCACUGCCCUGAAAAAUUUUAGUCAAACAAAUAUUUUUUUUUGUUUUUUUUUUGUGUUUUAUUUUUAUAAGCCUGGUACUUAUUCUGUUGGUCUCUUUUGCCAAACUGCUAAGUUAUGAGGAUGUAAACAAACCAACAAACCAUUUUAUCAAGUGGUGAGCUUGGGGGCAAAUACACACACACACACACACACACAUAAUUUCUGACUACCAAAUUCACUCACUAGGAGGCAUUGGCUGGCCCUGGGUCAUAGUUGAACACUUUUACUCAAACUGCUGUGCAGUCAGACGGAACCUGAAAACAUGAAAUUUUAAUAGAUGGGUUUGAGAUCACUUUAAGCCUUUUGUUACCAUACACUACCUUUGUUUCAAUUAAUUUUAAAAAUAACGAAGAAUUCAGUAAAAACAACCUUGUGACUAUUAAUCAGGUGUUUGGGACUAAUUAGUUUUAAAUUUUGGCACAAGGCCGGCAAUUUUGGAAAGUUGAUUACAUUGUCCCCUAGUUUUCAAUUAGACCGUGGCAAUGACUAGUGACCGAGACCUUUGGAAAUAUGCUGUGCGUGAGAAGACUUGGCAGGACAAGUGAGUCCAGCCCACUUAUGCAAUCCUUUCCACCCUUGGACACACGAAGACCUGUUGAGGCAAGCGAAGUCGAAAUCGAACCUCAUCCGACGACAGCCACCCAUGCCAACCUCCCUUCAUUGGACACUAAACUCUGCUUGCGAAGACCUGUUGGGGCAAGUGAAAUCGAAAUUGAACCAAUCCUAUGACUGGCACCUGGCAGUUGCCAGGACCGCUGGACUGACUCCUGUGCAGGUGGCAAGUGAAGAAACACCAUUUCGACCCUGUGCUUGAGGAGAUCCAUUGAGUCAAGUACACCAACAUCAAAAUCAAUGGAAACUGCAGUUGUGAUCCCUGUGCCGGUGGCACGUAAAAAGGACCAUCCGAAUAUGGCCGAUGCCAGUGCCGCCUCGACUGGCUUCCGUGCCGGUGGCACAUAAAAUGCACCAAUCCGAUCGUGGCCGUUGCCAGCCUCGCCUGGCACCUGUGCUGGUGGCAUGUAAAAAGCACCAUCCGAAACGUGGACGAUGCCAGCGCUGCCUCGACUGGCUUCCGUGCCGGUGGCACGUAAAAUGCACCAAUCUGAUCGUGGCCGUUGCCAGCCUCGCCUGGCACCUGUGCCGGUGGAAAGUAAAAAGCAGCCACUACACUCACGGAGUGGUUGGCCUUAGGAAGGGCAUCCAGCUGUAGAAACACUGCCAGAUCAGACUGGAGCCUGGUGCAGCCUUCUGGCUUCCUAGAUCCCCGGUCGAACUGUCCAACCCAUGGAGAAUGGACGUUAAACAAUGAUGAUGAUGAUUUAUUUUAUCAACCCUGAAAGGAUGAAAGCCAAUUAAUGUGGAAUUUGAUGGAUGGUUUUAAUUUAGAUAUCUUUAAAACAGGAAGUUUGUAUCAUAAAAGAAAGGGUUGGUUUCAAAAGGGGUCACUAUCACAAGAAUUAAACACAAUUUAUUCAAAUUUUCAUUCGUUUGUGAAUAUUCUAUUUGGACCUGUUUCUCUGAGAACGUCGAAAGUUUGGGGGAAGGAGAACCCUAGUUUGGAAAUGUUGUGAUGUAUGUAUGAGUACAGUAUAUAAAAGUACAUGUGUGUAUAUGUGUGGGUGUGUAUAGUUGUAUAUAUGUGUAUAUAUAUAUGUCUGUGUAUAUAUAUAUAUGUGCGUGUGAAUGUGUAUAUAUGUGUGUGUGUGUGUGUGUAUAUAUAUAUAUAUAUGUAUAUAUUUGUGUGUGUGUGUGUAUAUAUAUAUAUGUAUAUAUAUGUGUGUGUGUUUAUGUAUGUGUAAGUAUGUAUGUGUGUAUAUAUAUAUAUAUAGCACCGCCUCGACUGGCUUCCGUGCCGGUGGCACAUAAAAUACACCAAUCCGACCGUGGCCAUUGCCAGC
rnacentral:lncRNA from 1 species